GUUCUAGCGCGCCUCCGUGACGUCACUCGCUUUGGAGGCGGGCUCAGCAAGCGGCGCUCCACCGCCAUUGGUCGGGAGCCCUGCAGUAACCAGGGGAACUGCAAACAGUGUAGGGGCAGCUUCCGGUUCGAGCACCCGUAACCGCCGUAACCGCCGUAACCGCCGCCUUUAAGGAUGGACGGUCAGAGCCUGCGAAAGGCUGAGAGAGGCCGGUCCUGCUCCCAGGAGAAAAAGAAGCUGUCUGCUAUGGCCUGGGAAAGCGGCAGAAGAUGGCCCAAGUGCUUGGGCCCCUGCACCCACAUGGGAGACUGGAAAGAAGCUCCUAGCUCCUGGCUUCGGAAUUGCGCAGCUCCAGCCAUUGCGGCCAUCUGGGGAGUGAACCAGCGGGAGAAAGACCUUUCUCUCUGUCUCUUCCUCUCACUAUCUGUAACUCUACCUCUCAAAUAAAUAAAUAAAAUCUUAAAAAAAAAGGAGAAGAGAAGCAAGAAAAGAGAAAGAGAGAAAGACUGCCAGAUCAAAUUCAGCCCGAGGAUUUGUUUCUAACCUGUAUCCUAUCCUGUCCUCCUCAGCCCUGCGCUGGCCCCAGAGCCUUCCCAAGGCAGGAACGGUGUUUCUGUCUGUUUGCUAUCAGCUCCUAGCUAGACACCUAGUGUCUAAUAGGUAUUUAUUAAGAAUGCACUGAACAGACUGAUAAGCAUCUCAACCCUGAACCUCCUGUGUGGCACACAAAAGCAUCUCAUCAGUGACUGCCCGAGCCCAGGACAGAGUGACCCCUGUGUGUUCGGUGGCUGCUUGCUUGGUGCCUGGCCUGGUGCAGCAUCUCUCAAGGUGUGGA